UAAUUUUAUUAGUUCAAACUCUAGAGAGAAAAGAAAGAGAAGAGUUCUUAAAGCAGUAAAAGAGAGAGCGUGUGCUUUAUUUCAUCAUCGUAGGUAUUUAUAGGCAUUACAGUCAGGGUAAAGUAGUAAAUUCGUUUGGUCAUCUAUUCUGCAUGCUCGCCAUUAAACUAAUUAAGGCUAUUAUUAUAUUAUAACUUGUCAGGUCGUUGUCCCCUAAUUCCAGAGCUGGAUUCUGUCCUUAUCAUCAUUCUCUGUCUAGUAGCUCUGUAUUUCCUUCCUUGGGGCAGACUUCUACUCUUUGGCUCCGCUCUGCUAAGUAGCUCCGCCUUCUGCAAAUUGUCUCUGGCGUGUGGCUCCACGCUCUGGCUCCAAUAGCUUAGCUCUGACUCUGGAUUUGGCGAUUUGGCUCUGGCUCUGACUCUAACGACUUAGCUCUGACUCUGGAUCUGGCGACUUGGCUCUGGCUCUAACUUUAAUGACUUAGCUCUGCUCUGACAGCUCUAAUCUGGCAGCUCUG
rnacentral:lncRNA from 1 species